GACAUCGAGAUUUUUGAAAUCGAAACAAUUUACGUGUUAAAUACAACAAAAACUUUAUCUGUAUAGAUUUUUCAAAAAUCCAGAUAAUUAUCCAGAUUUUACUUUCUCUCGAUAGAAAACAGUACUGCCAAGGUACAUUACAGGUAUUAAAUGUCAGAUUCCAUUGAACGACAGCUGCAGUUGACAGAUAUAUGACACAAAAAUAUAAUAUUUAAAAUUGAAUUCAAUUAGGAAUAGCAAACAACACAAAUCAAUGAUUCACGUUUUUGCAAGAGUGCGAUAUCUUCCGCAAAAUUAAAGAAAAAAACCUGAAACCAGAUGGAAAGAAUUAUUUCACAAAAGAAGAAUUCUGUGUAUUGUGCGCUUGUGUCUUAAUCGUGUCGGUACCUUCAACCCCCAUGCAAAGCCAAAUGUAGUGUAAAAUGCUCUUGGAAUGCCCGCUCGUUUGCGAAAACGUUUAUUCUUUGACGAUAAACAUGAAUAAAUGAUAACAAAGAUCUUGUUGUUAAUCAUUUGCCUCAAUAGAAUGCCCACCACAAAAACAGUCUCAUAACUUUUUAAAAAUAUACACGUCAUGUAUGUGCGCUGCGAAGAAAAGCCGAAAAAUAUUCCCCCAGGAAAUACUUUUCAUCCCAAACAGCAGACAGCAAUAAGCAAGACAAUCCUAACAUCGCAUUAUGCAGCUCAUUCAACACCCAUAUUCUUCAGCUCCCUAAAAUUGACCUCACUUUAUGUAAAUGAUAUCAGAACCAAGACCCGUUGAUGAAAAGCCAUCUUAGAAGAAGAUCACUUCACUGCCUGUGCAAAUGAUGGUAUCGACGUUUAUAAACUUGGACGACAUGUGCAUGUGGAAACAAUAUCAUCUUGAAAGUUGAUGUGGAAGAAAUAUUUGAAAGAACGUUAUAGUAAAUGUUUCAGAGCAUCAUUUAUGUCCCCAAUUUUGAUUGCGGAUGAACUCUGCCUGCAUUGAUGUCGUCCUGUUUCUGUAGGACAUGUCUUCUACAGAUGGCUCUAAAGCCCCCAUCGGGAUCCCGAGAAAAUGAUAUCUGCAUAAAUCUUCUUCGCAAUUACUUUCCCCUCCUAAACAGCUAUGCAGCGGAAGGAAUUAAACCCCACUCAACCAACCCUACAACUGGACAUCCGGGUCUGAACACCUCGAGGACAACCACCUAGACAGCAGACUUUUUAAAUAAAGUUUAUCCAUGUAUUAUAUUUGUUUAUAUUUUAUAACUUUGUCAUUAUUUAACGUUAGGCCCCCUUUGUGCUAACAAAAUUUUGUAUCUAUCAAUGUAUCUUAGAAAUAAGUUAUUUUAAGUCAAUAGGAAGUUCAAUAAAUCAAAAUUAAAAUUAAAUUGCAAUUAAACAAAAAACUUAUUUGCAAGCUAGCAUUCUUGGUCCAGCUGUGGGAGUCCUUACAAAGGCGGGAUAUUAGUGAAAUAAGA